rfam:Blackcurrant reversion virus isolate 05 B18-Blanka coat protein mRNA, partial cds.
CGCAAGCACAUCCGCUAGUGCUCCCAACGCAAGUUGAUAGCGGCGUGCACGUCUAGGAGUUAAAUAGCUGGUAUCUUUCUACCCGGAUUCCCCUCUGCCGUCA